CUCUACUUGACUAGCUGAGAGGAGGUGCAUGGCGUCGUCAGUUCGUACUGUGAAGCAUCCUGUUAAGUCAGGCAACGAGCGAGACCCACGCCAACAGUUGCCAGCUCGUCCUCCGGGAUGGUGGGGACACUGUUGGGACCGCCUCUGCUAAAGAGGAGGAAGGAAUGGGCAACGGUAGGUCAGCAUGCCCCGAAUUAUCUGGGCUACACGCGGGCUACAAUGGGUGGGACAAUGGGUAUCGACACCGAAAGGUGAAGGCAAUCUCCUAAACCCAUCCGUAGUUCGGAUUGUGGGCUGCAACUCGCCCACAUGAAGCUGGAAUCUGUAGUAAUCGUGUCUCAAAAUGGCACGGUGAAUAUGUCCCUGCUCCUU
rnacentral:rRNA from 1 species